GAUGGAGCACGCCGCGUGAGUGAAGAAGGCUUUCGGGUCGUAAAACUCUGUUGUUGGAGAAGAAUGGUCGGCAGAGUAACUGUUGUCGGCGUGACGGUAUCCAACCAGAAAGCCACGGCUAACUACGUGCCAGCAGCCGCGGUAAUACGUAGGUGGCAAGCGUUAUCCGGAUUUAUUGGGCGUAAAGCGAGCGCAGGCGGUUUUUUAAGUCUGAUGUGAAAGCCCUCGGCUUAACCGAGGAAGCGCAUCGGAAACUGGGAAACUUGAGUGCAGAAGAGGACAGUGGAACUCCAUGUGUAGCGGUGAAAUGCGUAGAUAUAUGGAAGAACACCAGUGGCGAAGGCGGCUGUCUGGUCUGUAACUGACGCUGAGGCUCGAAAGCAUGGGUAGCGAACAGGAUUAGAUACCCUGGUAGUCCAUGCCGUAAACGAUGAAUGCUAGGUGUUGGAGGGUUUCCGCCCUUCAGUGCCGCAGCUAACGCAUUAAGCAUUCCGCCUGGGGAGUACGACCGCAAGGUUGAAACUCAAAGGAAUUGACGGGGGCCCGCACAAGCGGUGGAGCAUGUGGUUUAAUUCGAAGCAACGCGAAGAACCUUACCAGGUCUUGACAUCUUUUGAUCACCUGAGAGAUCAGGUUUCCCCUUCGGGGGCAAAAUGACAGGUGGUGCAUGGUUGUCGUCAGCUCGUGUCGUGAGAUGUUGGGUUAAGUCCCGCAACGAGCGCAACCCUUAUGACUAGUUGCCAGCAUUUAGUUGGGCACUCUAGUAAGACUGCCGGUGACAAACCGGAGGAAGGUGGGGGAUGACGUCAAAUCAUCAUGCCCCUUAUGACCUGGGCUACACACGUGCUACAAUGGAUGGUACAACGAGUUGCGAGACCGCGAGGUCAAGCUAAUCUCUUAAAGCCAUUCUCAGUUCGGACUGUAGGCUGCAACUCGCCUAC
rnacentral:rRNA from 2 species